rnacentral:rRNA from 1 species
CAGGCUUAACACAUGCAAGUCGAGGGGCAGCAUGGUCUUAGCUUGCUAAGGCCGAUGGCGACCGGCGCACGGGUGAGUAACGCGUAUCCAACCUGCCUUACACUCUUGGACAGCCUUCUGAAAGGGAGAUUAAUACAAGAUGUUAUCAUGAGUAAGCAUUUUCGCAUGAUUAAAGGUUUACCGGUGUAAGAUGGGGAUGCGUUCCAUUAGAUAGUAGGCGGGGUAACGGCCCACCUAGUCUUCGAUGGAUAGGGGUUCUGAGAGGAAGGUCCCCCACAUUGGAACUGAGACACGGUCCAAACUCCUACGGGAGGCAGCAGUGAGGAAUAUUGGUCAAUGGACGAGAGUCUGAACCAGCCAAGUAGCGUGAAGGAUGAAGGUUCUAUGGAUUGUAAACUUCUUUUAUACGGGAAUAAACGAAUCCACGUGUGGAUUUUUGCAUGUACCGUAUGAAUAAGGAUCGGCUAACUCCGUGCCAGCAGCCGCGGUAAUACGGAGGAUCCGAGCGUUAUCCGGAUUUAUUGGGUUUAAAGGGAGCGUAGAUGGGUUGUUAAGUCAGUUGUGAAAGUUUGCGGCUCAACCGUAAAAUUGCAAUUGAUACUGGCAGUCUUGAGUACAGUUGAGGUAGGCGGAAUUCGUGGUGUAGCGGUGAAAUGCUUAGAUAUCACGAAGAACUCCGAUUGCGAAGGCAGCUUACUAACCUGUAACUGACAUUGAUGCUCGAAAGUGUGGGUAUCAAACAGGAUUAGAUACCCUGGUAGUCCACACGGUAAACGAUGAAUACUCGCUGUAGGCGAUAUACAGUCUGCGGCCAAGCGAAAGCAUUAAGUAUUCCACCUGGGGAGUACGCCGGCAACGGUGAAACUCAAAGGAAUUGACGGGGGCCCGCACAAGCGGAGGAACAUGUGGUUUAAUUCGAUGAUACGCGAGGAACCUUACCCGGGCUUAAAUUGCAACCGAAUAUGGCGGAAACGCUAUAGCUAGCAAUAGCGGUUGUGAAGGUGCUGCAUGGUUGUCGUCAGCUCGUGCCGUGAGGUGUCGGCUUAAGUGCCAUAACGAGCGCAACCCUUGCCGAUAGUUACUAACAGGUCAUGCUGAGGACUCUGUCGGGACUGCCAUCGUAAGAUGUGAGGAAGGUGGGGAUGACGUCAAAUCAGCACGGCCCUUACGUCCGGGGCUACACACGUGUUACAAUGGGGGGUACAGAGGGCUGCUACCACGCAAGUGGAUGCCAAUCCCAAAAACCUCUCUCAGUUCGGAUUGAAGUCUGCAACCCGACUUCAUGAAGCUGGAUUCGCUAGUAAUCGCGCAUCAGCCACGGCGCGGUGAAUACGUUCCCGGGCCUUGUACACACCGCCCGUCAAGCCAUGGGAGCCGGGGGUACCUGAAGUGCGUAACCGCAAGGAGCGCCCUAGGGUAAAACUGGUGACUGGGGCUAA